rnacentral:rRNA from 1 species
UGGGGAAUAUUGGACAAUGGGCGCAAGCCUGAUCCAGCCAUGCCGCGUGGAUGAAGAAGGCCCUAGGGUUGUAAAGUCCUUUCACCGCCGAGGAUAAUGACGGUAGGCGGAGAAGAAGCCCCGGCUAAUUUCGUGCCAGCAGCCGCGGUAAUACGAAAGGGGCUAGCGUUGUUCGGAAUUACUGGGCGUAAAGCGCGCGUAGGCGGCAUUGUAAGUUGGGGGUGAAAUCCCGGAGCUCAACUCCGGAACUGCCUCCAAAACUACAAAGCUAGAGGCCGUGAGAGGAGAGUGGAAUUCCGAGUGUAGAGGUGAAAUUCGUAGAUAUUCGGAAGAACACCAGUGGCGAAGGCGACUCUCUGGCACGGUUCUGACGCUGAGGUGCGAAAGCGUGGGGAGCAAACAGG